rnacentral:lncRNA from 1 species
GUAAAAUCUAUAGCCACAUAACAUAUAGACAAACUCCAGAAUUCAAUAGGAACCACACAUAUAUGCAGAAACAAAAGCAAAAAGAAGCAAUAAUUGUCACUUGGGCUAAUUAUUACUUAAGCAGUAUCUUUGAUAAGAUCACUUCAUCUAUAUGGGAAUAACAGGUUAUUAUCAUGACAUUCACUAUGCUGGCAAAGCCAUGCUUAUCACUGAUAUCUGAAACCACUCUCAUGAGGAAAAUGAGCUAUGCUAGAAAUGUCUACAUUAAGUGUAUCUAAUGGAACUGUUGCAUAGGAAAGCUUUUUACAGAUGACUCAUAUAACUUCCUGCCUAUAUACUUAGGGAAGAUGGGGGAAGAGUGAGCACUCAGUAUCUGCUUAUUGUCAUCCUCAGGCUAUGGACACACCAAAUAAGAGCAUAAGAAGCUAAUCUGCAAGAUCCAGAUGAAGAAGGAGGCUCCUGGCCUUAGGGGUGCCCAAGUUGGGGGGUGUCGGGGGCGAUGUGUACCAGAAGACGACUGGGAGCGCAGCAGCAUAGUAUUUUCUCGGUGCCACAAGCCCUGGGAAAGUGCACUGAAGACUUGAGUCAGUGCCAAGACAGACGGGGGCGCGUGAGCUGGGCAAGGACGUGAGAGAGAGAAGAGACUCUCGAUGCAGAGUGCGGC